ncrna:unclassified sequences Transposase-2 RNA
GAAGUGCGAACCAAGCCGCGGCGACAACCGCGUAAGACUUGGAGCGGACGGCCGCAAGACCGUCCUGCA